rnacentral:rRNA from 1 species
UACGGAAGGCAGCAGUGGGGAAUAUUGCACAAUGGGCGCAAGCCUGAUGCAGCCAUGCCGCGUGUAUGAAGAAGGCCUUCGGGUUGUAAAGUACUUUCAGUCGUGAGGAAGGUGUUAAGGUUAAUAACCUUAGCAAUUGACGUUAGCGACAGAAGAAGCACCGGCUAACUCCGUGCCAGCAGCCGCGGUAAUACGGAGGGUGCGAGCGUUAAUCGGAAUUACUGGGCGUAAAGGGCACGCAGGCGGUUAAUUAAGUUGGAUGUGAAAUCCCCGGGCUUAACCUGGGAAUGGCAUUCAAGACUGGUUAGCUAGAGUCUUUGUAGAGGGGGUAGAAAUUCCAUGUGUAGCGGUGAAAUGCGUAGAGAUGUGGAGGAAAUACCGGUGGCGAAAGGCGGCCCCUGGACAAAAGGACUGACGCUCAUGUGCGAAAAGCGUGGGGAGCAAAACGAGGGAUUAGAUACC